GCACACUGUCCAAAAAGUGCGCAAAAACGCAAGAGGCAAAUAAAAAUUUGUAAUGAAAUUUUGUGCGCUGACAUUUCGAAAAAUUGCUUUUUAACCUUUGUGCCUUGGCUGGAAGUUGAAUCCAAAGCUGGGCAAACUGGAGCCGGAGCAGCUUCUACAUGUCACUGACAUGCUACACGUGUAUCUCUUCGGCUUGGGCGCCGCCUCGCCCAUGUUGAGGUCCAAGGAUGCGAGUGUGCGUGUGUGUGUCUGUGUGUGUGUGUGUGUGUGUGCGGUUGGAUGCCAAGCAAAGUUGUGCAGCAUCGAAAUCUGUAAGCUGAAAACUCUGUGACAUGCUUUUAAGUUUUCGGCUGGCAUGCACAUGCAGAUUAUUAUUAGGUUGUUGCCGCUGCAGCCCGUUGCCCCUGCCGCAGGCUGCCUUCGACUUUCUCCUAGCCUUACAUGAUGGAAGAGUUCGACUUUGAGGCGACGGAUGCUGAGUGGGGAAGCCCCCAUCCACACUUUGCACACUGUUCACCGCAUGUGCCCAACUGUGCAAAAGGUGAAGACGCUGUAUGGCAGCGCGGGAUGAGGUAGAGUGAGGUGGUGCGGGGCGGUUCAGGGCACGGUGGACAGCCUUAAAGCGGCUCUAAACAAAAUUGUCUAUGUAAAAGAAAUCGUCGGUUCGACAAAUGUGGCCAUAAAUAAUUCAUUGAAAUGGAUCAACAAUUGUUUGGCACUCCAAAUGGGCACAAACUAGUCCAAAGUUGAAUGGAAUCUAAGUGGAUGCCGAACUAAAGAUAUUCAUUA